ensembl:lncRNA
GAAUCUGCUACAAUGCAGGAGACCGGGUUCAACCCCUGGGUUGGGAAGAAUCCCUGGAGAAGAGAAUGGCUGGCUACCCACUCCAGUGUUCUUGUCUGGGAAAUCCCAUGGCAGAGGAGUCUGCUGGUGGACUACAGUCCAUGGGGUCACAGAAUUAGACUCGACUGAGUUUCCAGAAAGGAGGCAGAUCCUUCUAAUCCUGCACAUCCCAGUUAUACCCUCAAACCAGAACACAUUUGCUCCUGGAAGAUGUUGUUUUAUUGAUAUUUAUGAAAUGAGAUGUUGAAGGAGGGGAGGAGCAGGUCCAAAGGAAUGUAGCAGGCCAGACAGAAAUGUCUCAAGGCAAGAAUACCAGAGCCGAUUGCCAUUUCCUACUCCAGGGGAUCUUCCCAACCCAGGGAUCAUACCCGUGUCUCCUGAGUCUCCUGUAUUGGCUGAUGGAUUCUUUACCGCUGUGCCAUCUGGGAAGGCAAUUUUUUGUUGUUGUUGUUGAGGGG